rnacentral:lncRNA from 1 species
UCCAUCCGUCCCCGUCCGUACGUCUCUCUCCCCUUCUCUCUUUUUUCUCUUUCUACAUCUAUGUCUUUCUCUCUCUAGCUCCCCUCAACCCUAUGUCAAUUUUUUUGUUCUUCAGGAGAGUUCGAGGCGGUGGAAACGGCUGCAAAGUUGGCGACGACAAUGGAAGCUUGUAAGUUACACUUUCUUCCAUAAAGAAAAAAUAUACAGUUUACCCAUAUAUUUAAGACUUAACCUACUAUAUAUAGUUUAGUCUUUAUACAUAACAUGAUUAAAGAAAAAGUCAAACAUUUUCGCCUAUCGUUUAUCGUAUUGUAGUCACCGGAAACUUUCCUCGGAAAGAAACUAUAUAGACAACUAUAUAUACUUAGUACUCUCUAGCUCUAGGCCUGAAAAAACAAUUUCCAAAAAAUGUUGCAUGAACAUCGUGGACAUGAUCAUGAUCACGUAGCUAUUUAUGCGAUGCGAGUAUGCGACUAUAUCUACCUUUCUUAUAAGCUAUCUAUUUUUUUCUUUCUUUUUUUUUUGUUUGUUUAAAACAAGUUAGGAAUCAUGAUCUGGUGGAGAAGAACAUAUAAGUCAUCAUCAACUUUGUAUGAUCUUGUCUAAAUAACCAAUAGUAUCCUUUUUCAAGAAACAGGAAUGGAAAUUAUUGAUUUAUGAUGAGUAGAUUUACAACAUAUACACUAUAUAAAUUGACAUAUUGAUAUGUGGGGCUACAGGAUGUUGAUGUGGGAAGAUGGAUACUGCAGAGGAAGAGGAGGAACAGAAGGUUGCUAUGGAGACAUGGAAGGAGAAGAUCCUGUUCGUAAAUCUUUCAGCAAGAUGUCAAUCCAGUUAUAUAAUUAU